CCCCCUGGUGCCUACUGAGUGUCACUGUAGGCUCAGGAAGCCUGGGAUGUAUACAAAAAAAAUCGCGCCGGCGGCCUCAGCCUGCACACGCGAGCCGCGUCUGGCUGCAGGUACCAGCUCUGUCGGCAAUGGCAGCGUCCAGGGCGACGGCGGCAGCGCUGCUGGUGCUGCUGGUCACAGCGGCGCCGGCCCUUCUGACCGGCCCACCGGACCCUCCGCCGGAUCCGACUUCUGCCGAGGGGUGCCGGGCGGCGGGCGCCCUGUGCCUGGCCCGGCCCGGCCCCGGACAGCCGGCCUGCCCGCGCUGGCAGCGGCCCUUCGCCGGCAUCUGCGGGCCCGCGGCCGACUGCUGCUUUAUCGAGUAUUGGAACCACGCGCUGGUCUGCGGCCUGUUUGGCGGGGACUGCGCGCCCGUGGCCAGCUGCGGGGGCGCGCCUCGGCAUCGGAACGCCUUCUGCGCGCGGCCCGGUGACACCUGCUGCAUCUGGCUCUACUAGCCCGGUGACACGUGCUGUAUCUGGCUCUACUAGCCCGGCGACACCUGCUGCGUCUGGCUCUACUAGCCCGGCGACACCUGCUGCGUCUGGCUCUACUAGCUGAUAAAUCGACUCUUCUUCCUAACACCGAAAACAGAACAUAGGUACCAAGAUUCUCCGAAGAAAAAAAAAUGAUGAAAAUCUUAUGAACCUGUCGUCGGUAACUAUAUUGUCGCUGUGUUUUAUUUUCUGUUAUGGGGGCCACGGAUUUCAGUUUUCUUUUAGAAGCCCAUAUCGACAGGCGUUUUCUCGUUAGGUAAAUCAACGGGAGUCUUACUGAUGACUGUUCGCAAUCACACGCGCUGUGAGAAAAUCACGGUCGCGGUGGGCGGGACCGGCGCUGCCACCUUCGGUGACCGUGCCACGAUCGCGGUGGAUGCGACCUGCAUCACUGCCUCUGGCGGCGCAAGGCUCGCUGCAACACCACGUGCAGCGGCGGUGAGGACCGAGGCCGGAACCGUGGUGAGACCGUACCGCCCGCACGCACCGGCCAGGCGGCAUGGUGUCGCAACCUACGCACUGGCCACUGACCGACCUUCGCCCGACCUCUCGGGACGUGACGAUGAACCCGGAACGGAGCGCGAGGAGAUGACUUUCGCCCGACCCUGGGGCCGCGGUGGCGAGACCGGCCCGGCGCGCGAGGUCACGACUUUCACGCCGCACAGCUGCGCCACGUGAAGUGCGCGCUUCUCCGACGUUUAGAACAUGUAGUUUUUAUAUUUAUGUGCUUAGCCCUGCAAUGGAACAAGCUUUUUCUCCUGUAGCUCUGUAUAGCCAACAAAAAAGCAGACUAACAAAGGAGCAGACCUGGAAUGCGGAUCGCAUUAUUUCUUGUGUGAAAUAUAUUACGACGUAUUACGGUAAAUACGAGCGUAAUGACUUAUUGCAGGACCGAUCCUCACGGACUGCAUGAUUUAGGUAUUGUACUUCACAGUGUUCGAUAUGCCAGGUUCUAAGCUGAUGUAUGUAUGUCGCCGUGGCGCGGCAGUGUUUUCUUCACUGCGCGUGUAGCGGGUAACAUUGCGACUGUCUGCCUAUUGCCUAGUAACUGUACUUUUGCUGUACUUGAAUCUAAUCUCAUGUCUAUAAUAGCCUGUAAUGUAAUAUACCUGUUCCAAGACAAA